rfam:Solanum tuberosum cultivar DM 1-3 516 R44 scf00805_5, whole genome shotgun sequence.
GUUCCUUCGCGGAUAUCUGAUAAAAUUAGAACGAUAUAGUGAUUAACAUGAUCCCUGUGCUAGAAUGACACGCACAAAUCAAGAAAUGGUCCCCUUCUUG